UGCAGAAUCCCGUGAACCAUCGAGUCUUUGAACGCAAGUUGCGCCCGAAGCCAUCAGGCCAAGGGCACGUCUGCCUGGGCGUCACGCAUCUCGUCGCCCCAACCCUCCCGUGCACCAUCUGGUCCGGGGGAGUCCAGGGGCGGAAAUUGGCCUCCCGUGCCCGUGCGCGGCUGGCCUAAAAGCGAGUCCCUUGCGACGGACGCGAUGACAAGUGGUGGUUGAUUGUCUCAACUCGAGCGAUGUCAUCGUUGCCCCGUCAAAAGAGAAGACUGCCCUGACCCUGUAGCACGUGCAUUCACGACACAUGCCACGACCGCGACCCCAGGUCAGGCGGGACUACCCGCUGAGUUUAAGCAUAUCAAUAAGCGGAGGAAAAGAAACUAACAAGGAUUCCCCUAGUAACGGCGAGCGAACCGGGAACAGCCCAAGCUUAAAAUCCGUCGACUUUGUCGUCUGA
rnacentral:rRNA from 1 species